rnacentral:rRNA from 1 species
UGGGGAAUCUUCCGCAAUGGGCGAAAGCCUGACGGAGCAAUGCCGCGUGAACGAAGAAGGUCUUCGGAUUGUAAAGUUCUGUCCUCAUCGAAGAGAGGUGCCAGUAGUAACUGACGGGCACAGGACGGUAGAUGAGGAGGAAGCCCCGGCUAACUACGUGCCAGCAGCCGCGGUAAAACGUAGGGGGCAAGCGUUGUCCGGAAUCACUGGGCGUAAAGGGCGCGUAGGCGGCAAUAUAAGUCAGGUGUGAAAUGUAGGGGCUUAACCCUUAAACUGCACCUGAUACUGUAUAGCUUGAGAGUGAGAGAGGGAAGCGGAAUUCCUAGUGUAGCGGUGAAAUGCGUAGAUAUUAGGAAGAACACCAGUGGCGAAGGCGGCUUCCUGGCUCACAACUGACGCUGAGGCGCGAAAGCGUGGGGAGCAAACAGG